UACGUAGGGGGGCAAGCGUUGUCCGGAAUCAUUGGGCGUAAAGAGCGUGUAGGCGGCUCGGUAAGUCCGCUGUGAAAGUCCAGGGCUCAACCCUGGAAUGCCGGUGGAAACUGUCGAGCUAGAGUCCGGAAGAGGCGAGUGGAAUUCCUGGUGUAGCGGUGAAAUGCGCGGAUAUCAGGAGGAACACCAAUGGCGAAGGCAGCUCGCUGGGACGGUACUGACGCUGAGACGCGAAAGCGUGGGGAGCAAACAGG
rnacentral:rRNA from 1 species